GACGUAGGGCGCGAGCGUUGUCCGGAUUUAUUGGGCGUAAAGAGCUCGUAGGCGGCUUGUCGCGUCGACUGUGAAAACCCGCGGCUCAACUGCGGGCCUGCAGCCGAUACGGGCAGGCUAGAGUUCGGUAGGGGGAGACGUGGAAUUCCUGGUGUAGCGGUGAAAUGCGCAGAUAUCGAGGAGGAACAGCCGGUAGGCGAAGGCGGGUCUCUGGGCCG
rnacentral:rRNA from 1 species